CAUGGGACCAGGUGGUGGAUGGUCAUACGAGCAGCUGGUGCAGAUCACAUGUCCUGGUUAUGUGACCACUGACGCCAGGCGGACAAUCUCUGAAGAGUAUUGAUAAUGACUGGGAUCACCCGUCUUGUGGAGACACUGCCCAGAAAAAGGUGCAGCUAAAUGAGAAGGAAGGGGCUUGGGGCCGACUGGGGGCAGAGGAAGACCCCCGGGUUCUCAGUGCACUGAUGUGGUGCUGGCUGGAACACCUCAAGGAGCCAGUGCUGAGAUCAGACGAUGUGGUGACACUGUUGUCAAAACCAACAGACAAGCAUAAUCU